CGAGGCCACAUACUUCUUUAUACCCCAUAGGGAUCACUGUGCUAUGGAAUGUAAGGAAGUGUGUGGUUUUGG
rnacentral:pre_miRNA from 1 species